UAUAUUAAACAUUUACUAUGUUUAUAUUAUUUUGAGAUAUUUAUAAAAAUCAAUUUAUUGUUGAUGUAUUUGUUAAAGAAAUAAUUGUUUUGGUUUUAUUUUAUUAGUACUGUGAAGGAAAAUUUAGAAAUAAGGUUUAAAAUAUUUUAUAAGUAGAAUUAUUAUUUUGUGCCUUGUGUAUCAGGAUUUAUUAAUAAAAUUUCAUUAAUUUUGAUUUUCUCGAUUUUUUUAGAGUUAAUAAUUUAUAUUAAUUAUUGUUGAAAAAAUAUUUAUAAUAAUUUAUUGGUAGUGAAAUGUUAAUCGUUAAUAAAGAUAUCUAGUUCUUUAGGAAAUAAAUUUAAUUUAGGUUCUUUCUUUAAAAAUUUAUUUGUAAAUUGUGUUUUAGGGAGUAUUAAUGGUAAUAGGGAUAAGCUUAUUAUUAAAUAUUUAUGGAAAAUAAGUUGAUAAAGUAAUAUAAAUUUAGAAAUGAUUAUUAUUAAAAAUAUGUUAAAAUUUUACUUUAAUAUUUAUGAAUUUUUUUUUUCUUAAUUAUUUACUAAGGUUUUUUAAUUAAUAAUUUAUUGAUUAAAAUUAUGAUAAAAUUAGUAUAUAUAUAUAUUAUUUAAUAAAUUUUAUUAUUUAUAAUUUUGGGGAACUAGGCAAUAAAAGGAAGUAUAAUUAAGGUUAUCCGCCUGUUUAACAAAAACAUCUCUUCUUGAUUACUUAAGAAGUAUAACCUGCCCAAUGAAUAAUAUUUAAUGGCCGCGGUAUAUUGACCGUGCAAAGGUAGCAUAAUAAUUAGUCUUUUAAUUGAAGGCUGGAAUGAAUGGUUAGACGAGAUAACAACUAUCUUAAUUUUAUUAAAUUGAAUUUAAUCUUUAAGUUAAAAAGCUUAAAUUUUUUUUUGGGACGAGAAGACCCUAUAGAGUUUAUAUAUUAUAAAUUGUUCUAAUGAAUUUGUUAUUAAUUAUUUUAUUUAUAUUAUUGUGUUGGGGUGACAGAAAGAUAAUAGUAACUCUUAUUAAUUAAUUUUUAUAAAUGUAUAUAGUAUUUGAUCCACAAUUAGUGAUUAUAAGACUAAAUUACCUUAGGGAUAACAGCGUAAUCUUUUUUAAGAGUUCAUAUCGACAAUAAGGGUUGCGACCUCGAUGUUGGAUUAAGAAUAUUUUUAGGUGUAGAAGCUUAAAAAUUAGGUCUGUUCGACCUUUAAAAUCUUACAUGAUCUGAGUUCAGACCGGCGUAAGCCAGGUUGGUUUCUAUCUAAUAAUAAUUAAGAUAUUUUAGUACGAAAGGACCAAAUAUUUAAAAUAAUUUUUUAUUUAUAUUGAUUAUUAAUA
rnacentral:rRNA from 1 species